AUUCAGUUGACGAGUUCCAACUAAGUCGAAACGCGCGUCCUGGAU
rnacentral:hammerhead_ribozyme from 1 species